UUACUCAGAAGACCAAAAGACAAUGAAUCAUUUCAAAAUAAACUACCAAAAUAGAAACAAGCAUCAACAGUCCCGUGGCUAAGACGCUGGCAAGAUAACAAUAAAUACUCAUCCUCCGAUUUAUGUAUAAUUGCCUGAGAGACAAGAGUUCUAUCAUUUUAUAUUUCUCCACAUGUGUAGGGUUGGGCCCAAUCCCAUCAGCUGAAGCCUGUAUACUGAGGAGCAGGAAGGAAUUCUGUCCCCACCAAUCAGGAAGGAAUUCUGUCUCCAAACUGAUGUUAGACUCGAAGCUGCAACAUCAGCUCCUUUAGGUUUGCCUGGUUAAUUUUAGACUUGCUAGCUUCUACAAGCAUGUGAAACAGUUUUAGAAGUUACUCUCCCAGCCUCUCCCUUAUUUUCAUCACAUUUCUCCCCCAUCUCAUUUCUCUUUCUCUCUUUUUC